rnacentral:rRNA from 1 species
CCUACGGGAGGCAGCAGUGGGGAAUAUUGGGCAAUGGGCGCAAGCCUGACCCAGCAACGCCGCGUGAAGGAAGAAGGCUUUCGGGUUGUAAACUUCUUUUAUCAGGGACGAAGCAAGUGACGGUACCUGAGGAAUAAGCCACGGCUAACUACGGGCCAGCAGCCGCGGCAAUACGUAGGUGGCAAGCGUUAUCCGGAUUUACUGGGUGUAAAGGGCGUGUAGGCGGGAAAGCAAGUCAGAUGUGAAAACCAUGGGCUCAACCUGUGGCCUACAUUUGAAACUGUUUUUCUUGAGUGCUGGAGAGGCAGGCGGAAUUCCUAGUGUAGCGGUGAAAUGCGUAGAUAUUAGGAGGAACACCAGUGGCGAAGGCGGUCUGCUGGACAGCAACUGACGCUGAGGCGCGAAAGCGUGGGGAGCAAACAGGAUUAGAUACCCUAGUAGUC